rnacentral:rRNA from 1 species
GACGAACGCUGGCGGCGUGCUUAACACAUGCAAGUCGAACGGGAUUUAGUAGACAGAAGCCUCGGCUAAAGAUUACUAAUGAGAGUGGCGAACGGGUGAGUAACGCGUGAGCAACCUGCCUAUGACAGUGGGAUAGCCUCGGGAAACCGGGAUUAAUACCGCAUAAAAUCGUAGAAACACAUGUUUUAACGGUCAAAGAUUUAUCGGUCAUAGAUGGGCUCGCGUCUGAUUAGCUAGUUGGUGAGAUAACAGCCCACCAAGGCGACGAUCAGUAGCCGGUCUGAGAGGAUGAACGGCCACAUUGGAACUGAGACACGGUCCAAACUCCUACGGGAGGCAGCAGUGGGGAAUAUUGCACAAUGGGGGAAACCCUGAUGCAGCGACGCCGCGUGAACGAAGAAGGUAUUCGUAUCGUAAAGUUCUGUCCUAUGGGAAGAUAAUGACAGUGCCAUAGAAGAAAGCGCCGGCUAAAUACGUG